rnacentral:lncRNA from 1 species
GUUCAGGUUCUAGUCCGAGGUUAAUUGCAAAGUAUGGAGUCACAUAUGAAAACGUUGAACCUAGAUCCAUUAUGGCAUAAGCAUUAUGUGAGCAGACAAAAAGUAUACCUGUAAUAACUUCUGCAGAUGCCUCUGCAUUCUGACGAUCAAGUGUAGCAAGCAAAUGAGGUUGUCCCCCUCCCUGAGUAACUCGGUGUGCACCUCUGCCUGCUCCAUGCCCGGUUUGAUUAUGAGACCACGAGCCUGAGGUGGUGCAACUGCUGUAGAUGAGGAACUAGAAGGACGAGUGGAUCCACUACUGAAAUUACGUUGCAACUUUGGGCACUUGGACUUUAUAUGACCAAUGUCUCCACAAUGAUAUCAACCACGAAACCCAAGCUUAAACUGACUUGAAUGUUGCCGCUUACAUAUUCCACUAAUACCUUGUUGGUGUGAAUGUUGCUCAGCAUGACUCUGGCUAUGUGAGGAUGAUGUCCUAAA